rnacentral:rRNA from 1 species
AUUGAACGCUGGCGGCAUGCCUUACACAUGCAAGUCGAACGGUAACAGGUUAAGCUGACGAGUGGCGAACGGGUGAGUAAUGUAUCGGAACGUGCCCAGUCGUGGGGGAUAACUGCUCGAAAGAGCAGCUAAUACCGCAUACGACCUGAGGGUGAAAGCGGGGGAUCGCAAGACCUCGCGCGAUUGGAGUGGCCGAUAUCAGAUUAGGUAGUUGGUGAGGUAAAGGCUCACCAAGCCGACGAUCUGUAGCUGGUCUGAGAGGACGACCAGCCACACUGGGACUGAGACACGGCCCAGACUCCUACGGGAGGCAGCAGUGGGGAAUUUUGGACAAUGGGCGCAAGCCUGAUCCAGCCAUGCCGCGUGCGGGAAGAAGGCCUUCGGGUUGUAAACCGCUUUUGUCAGGGAAGAAAAGGUUCUGGCUAAUACCUGGGACUCAUGACGGUACCUGAAGAAUAAGCACCGGCUAACUACGUG